UGUUAAAAAUUCCAUCCAUUUUUACUAUUAAGUACUAAUUUGGCUGAUGGAACAACCAGAUAAUGACACUUGACAUGUCACAUGUACCUCAUGCUGACAUAAAAGAAUUGAUUCAAGCAAAAUGGAUGGAACUUUUACUAGAAGAAAUGGAUGAAAUUUUUGACA
rfam:Gossypium hirsutum cultivar TM-1 unplaced genomic scaffold scaffold3516.1, whole genome shotgun sequence